rnacentral:rRNA from 1 species
UAAGUAAGUGGUGGAAAUUAAACCAAAUGGGAUAUCUUUAGUAAUUGCGAAUGAACAAGGAUAUGCUUAGCUUGACAAAUGGAGCUAUUGGCUUUGAAUUGUAUUGUGGAAAUGUAUUACCAACAGAGGUGCAGGUGCCAGCCUAUUGAAAUAAAGCGUCAAUGAGGGUGAGCAUCCUGUUUGUCAUGUGCAGCCCUUUGUGCACGGUGUAUAUUUGCUGAGUCACACUCCUUGGCAUUGGAAUGCAAAGUGGGUGGUAAGUUUCAUGUAAAGGUAAACAUGCAAUUGAGACUGAUAGCACACAAGUACCAUGAGGGAAAUAUGAAAAGGACUUUGAAAAGAGAAUUAAAUGAGUUUGUAUUUGCUGAACACAAAGUAAACAGACUUGAUUUGCUUGGUGGGAGUGUUGCACUUGCUUGACAAGAGCUUUGGGCUGUGGGUGUAAUGAUUCUUUCUUUGCAUGCAGUUUCUAUUUGUACAUCUGAUUACCUUUGCACAUGAAUGAUAAGUCUCCUGUGGGGGGUGGAUUGCAUGUGCAUGUAAUGAUUUGUGUUUUGAUAAAUGUGUCUGGUGUAUGUGUGUGUUCCUGUGCUUGGGGAUGCUUCCUUCCUUGGACUUACAAGCCCUGACACACACAUGCUGGCAAAAUGCUUCUGCUUGACCCG